UACGUAGGGGGCAAGCGUUGUCCGGAAUCACUGGGCGUAAAGCGUGCGUAGGCGGUUAUGUAAGUCUGAGGUGAAAGGCCGCGGCUCAACUGCGGGAUUGCCUUGGAAACUGGAUAACUUGAGUGCUGGAGAGGCAAGGGGAAUUCCACGUGUAGCGGUGAAAUGCGUAGAUAUGUGGAGGAAUACCAGUGGCGAAGGCGCCUUGCUGGACAGUGACUGACGCUGAGGCACGAAAGCGUGGGGAG
rnacentral:rRNA from 1 species